UACGGAGGGAGCUAGCGUUGUUCGGAAUUACUGGGCGUAAAGCGCACGUAGGCGGCCAUUCAAGUCAGAGGUGAAAGCCCAGGGCUCAACCCUGGAACUGCCUUUGAAACUAGAUGGCUAGAAUCCUGGAGAGGCGAGUGGAAUUCCGAGUGUAGGGGUGAAAUUCGUAGAUAUUCGGAAGAACACCAGUGGCGAAGGCGACUCGCUGGACAGGUAUUGACGCUGAGGUGCGAAAGCGUGGGGAGCAAACAGG
rnacentral:rRNA from 1 species